rnacentral:rRNA from 1 species
AAAUUGAAGAGUUUGAUCAUGGCUCAGAUUGAACGCUGGCGGCAGGCCUAACACAUGCAAGUCGAACGGUAACAGGAAACAGCUUGCUGUUUCGCUGACGAGUGGCGGACGGGUGAGUAAUGUCUGGGAAACUGCCUGAUGGAGGGGGAUAACUACUGGAAACGGUAGCUAAUACCGCAUAAUGUCGCAAGACCAAAGAGGGGGACCUUCGGGCCUCUUGCCAUCGGAUGUGCCCAGAUGGGAUUAGCUAGUAGGUGGGGUAACGGCUCACC